AUUGAACGCUGGCGGCAGGCCUAACACAUGCAAGUCGAGCGGAUGAAGGGAGCUUGCUCCUGGAUUCAGCGGCGGACGGGUGAGUAAUGCCUAGGAAUCUGCCUGGUAGUGGGGGAUAACGUCCGGAAACGGGCGCUAAUACCGCAUACGUCCUGAGGGAGAAAGUGGGGGAUCUUCGGACCUCACGCUCUCAGAUGAGCCUAGGUCGGAUUAGCUAGUUGGUGGGGUAAAGGCCUACCAAGGCGACGAUCCGUAAAUGGUCUGAGAGGAUGAUAAGGCACACUGGAACUGAGACACGGUCCAGACUCCUACAGGAGGCAGCAGUGGGGAAUAUUGGACAAUGGGCGAAAGCCUGAUACAGCCAUGCCGCGUGUGUGAAGAAGGUCUUCGGAUUGUAAAGCACUUUAAGUUGGGAGGAAGGGCAGUAAGUUAAUACCUUGCUGUUUUGACGUUAACAACAGAAUAAGCACCGGCUAACUUCGUG
rnacentral:rRNA from 1 species